rnacentral:rRNA from 1 species
CAGUCGCCACGGUAAUACGAAGGGGGCUAGCGUUGUUCGGAAUUACUGGGCGUAAAGCGCACGUAGGCGGAUAUUUAAGUCAGGGGUGAAAUCCCAGAGCUCAACUCUGGAACUGCCUUUGAUACUGGGUAUCUUGAGUAUGGAAGAGGUGAGUGGAAUUCCGAGUGUAGAGGUGAAACUCGUAGAUAUUCGGAGGAACACCAGUGGCGAAGGCGGCUCACUGGUCCAUUACUGACGCUGAGGUGCGAAAGCGUGGGGAGCAAACAGGAUUAGAUACCCGUGUAGUCCCUGUCUCUUAUAC